rnacentral:rRNA from 1 species
UACGUAGGCAGCGAGCGUUGUUCGGAGUUACUGGGCGUAAAGCGCGUGUAGGCGGCCCUGUAAGUCGGGUGUGAAAUCCCACGGCUCAACCGUGGAAGUGCACUCGAAACUACAGGGCUAGAGUCCUGGAGAGGAAGGUGGAAUGCUUGGUGUAGAGGUGAAAUUCGUAGAUAUCAAGCGGAACACCGGUGGCGAAGGCGGCCUUCUGGACAGUGACUGACGCUGAGACGCGAAAGCGUGGGGAGCAAACAGG